rnacentral:lncRNA from 1 species
GAAAUGAAAAUGACAUGAAAGAAAAUGAAGAUCAAUGAAGAAAAUGAAGGGCAUCUGUACCAAAUCAAGAAAAUCUGUACUGGAGGAAACAAAAUGUUGAAGGUGUUAAGUAGUUGAUUCCCAAGUUGUCUGAAACAAGGGGAGAAAUCUAAUAUUUGGAAAAAUCACCAAUAUUAUUACUGCCUAAAAAAAGGAACUUGGAGGAAAGGUUUCAGAAUAUUGGUUGGACCACUAUGGGAAGACUUGGCCAAGAGUUCUAUGGAAUGAGAAAACAUGGAUGAUGUGAUUUAUACUCCUGGAAGGACUCCAUACUAAUGGGAUCAUGUGUUCUGUAUCUCUUGAAAAACCAGAGAUAUAGGAUGUGGAGGUUCCAGACGAUUGGCACAUCACAUCAGUGUCAUAGAAGAUUCUUUAAUAAAUGUAGACCUAAAAUAAAAAUCUGCAUCAUAAGUCUAAUGCUUCUUUCUAUUACUUUAUUUUUGCAAGUUAACAGACCCCACAAACUCAGGAAACCAUUAUGAAUUAUUUGCAAGUGGUGAUGUAAUAAUUAUUCCAUAAAUUUGGAAAUUGGGCU